rnacentral:lncRNA from 1 species
GGGGGGAUAUGGGGUUCUAUGGGGGGAUAUGGGGUUAUGUGGGGUCUAUAGGGUGCUAUUGGCUUAUGGGGUAAAUGGGAUUAUGGGGGCACAAUGGGACACAAUGCGGCAUAAUGGGGUUAUGGGGUCCCAGUGGCACACAAUGGGGUUAUGGGGUCCCAAUGGGGUCCCAAUGGAGACACAAUGGGACACAGUGGGGUUAUGGGGUCCCAAUGGGACACAAUGGGGUUAUGGGGUCCCAAUAGGACACAAUGGGGCACAAUGGGGUUAUGGGGUCCCAAUGAGGUCCCAAUGGGACACAAUGGGGUUAUGGGGUCCCAAUAGGACACAAUGGGGCACAAUGGGUUUAUGGGGUCCCAAUGGGGUCCCAAUGGGACACAAUGAGGUUAUGAGGUCCCAAUGGGACACAAUGGGGUUAUGGGGUCCCAAUGGGGUCCUAAUGGGCCACAGUGGGAUUAUGGGUUCCCCAUGGGGUCCCAAUGGGACACAAUGGGGUUAUGGGCUCCUCAUGGGGUCCCGAUGGGGACUGAAUGGGACCCAAUGGGGUUAUGGGGUCCCAGUGGCACACAAUGGGGUUAUGGGUCCCAAUGGGGUCCCAAUGGGACACAAUGGGACACAAUGAGGUUAUGGGGUCCCAAUGGGACACAAUGGGACAUAAUGGGGUUAUGGGGUCCCAAUGGGACACAAUGGGACACAAUGGGGUUAUGGGGUCCCAAUGGGACACAGUGGGGCUAUGGGCUCCCAAUGGGGUCCCAGUGGC